rnacentral:rRNA from 1 species
UGGGGAAUAUUGGACAAUGGGCGAAAGCCUGAUCCAGCAAUGCCGCGUGAGUGAUGAAGGCCUUCGGGUUGUAAAGCUCUGUCGGGAGGGACGAAUAGGGUGGUGUAAUGGCCACUUCUGACGGUACCUCCAAAGGAAGCACCGGCUAACUCUGUGCCAGCAGCCGCGGUAAUACAGAGGGUGCAAGCGUUGUUCGGAAUUACUGGGCGUAAAGCGCGUGUAGGCGGCGUCGUGAGUCAUAUGUGAAAGCCCUCGGCUCAACCGAGGAAGUGCAUGUGAUACUGCGAUGCUUGAGUGUUGGAGGGGGUGGCGGAAUUCCCGGUGUAGAGGUGAAAUUCGUAGAUAUCGGGAGGAACACCUGUGGCGAAGGCGGCCACCUGGACAACAACUGACGCUGAGACGCGAAAGCGUGGGUAGCAAACAGGAUUAGAUACCCAAGUAGUCCCUGAGCGGGCUGGCAAGGCGCAU